rnacentral:lncRNA from 1 species
AGUUGAACAGUUAUUUAGAUGGCUCAUUUAAAAUUUGGUUCAUGAUGGCUAUUAUUAUAUGUGACUGCCUUUAUGUGUUGGAAUUUUGUGUGUUUAUAGCUAAAUCUUAUCGUUGCGACACAAUUAUAUGUUUAAAAACAUUACUUUAGUUACAUACCUCUACACCAGAAAGAUCUAAAGUGAAAACAUAUUGUUUGUUGAAUAAAAAGGGUACAUCAGAAUGUGGUGGAAUAUAUAAUUGCAGGUUCACAUUGUUUUAGUAUCUGAAAAAUAU